rnacentral:misc_RNA from 1 species
UACGGAGGGGGCUAGCGUUGUUCGGAAUUACUGGGCGUAAAGCGCGCGUAGGCGGCUUGCCAAGCCAGAGGUGAAAUCCCGGGGCUUAACCCCGGAACUGCCUUUGGAACUGGUAGGCUAGAGUCUCGGAGGGGGUGGUGGAAUUCCAAGUGUAGAGGUGAAAUUCGUAGAUAUUUGGAGGAACACCGGUGGCGAAGGCGACCACCUGGACGAGUACUGACGCUGAGGUGCGAAAGCGUGGGGAGCAAACAGG